rnacentral:lncRNA from 1 species
GCCCCCUUCCUCUCGCGUCCCCGGGUUCUCGCCCCUUCUUUCCUGAUGCCUGCCUGAUUUUCUGGAAAGACCGACACCCCCAGUCGCCCCCACCGCGGCUCCCGGUUCCUUCCCCUGCAGAGCAGACGGGGGCUGGAGUAGGGGCCAACAUGGGUGACAUGGGUGGACCGGCAGGGCGGUCCCUGGGGUGCCCUUUAACUCUUUCUGUGCCACAUCCCCGGUCUCUGGCCAGUCCUGUCGCGCUAAGGCCCCUCCAGCAGCGCUGACCCUGGUCCCCCACCUGCUGGUCCUGCGGCCGCGGGGCGCUCUCUCCUCCGUCCCACCCGCUCCUUCCACACCACCUCCUUUCCUGGGAGUGGAGAAGCCCCAGCCAGAACCCCUGCCUUCCCCAAGAGGCACGCUCAGAGGGACAUUCUCCCCUUCCUCACUCCCCCUAGAGCCACAUCACACCUGGCUUUGGGGCCCUAGAACCUCAGCCCGCGCCCCUCCCCUUCCACCCCCAGCCAUCCCUGCUCUGUGCCCAGUGAUCUUGGGGUCACCACAACCCCAUGGCGCCUUGAGGCCUCACCUUUCCUGGCCUCUCAGCAUCCUGGGACACUGAUGGUCAUGCCUUCCUUCUAGAAAGUUCUCUCCGAGGCUGUGGCUUCCAGGAUGAGCACUCUCCUCCUCCCACUUCCUCCCCUUCUCCUUCCCCCUCCUCCCUUCUCCCUGGAGAGGUCUUCCUCCAAGUCCCAGUCUUCUUCCCCACCCAGAGCCCCUCCCGCUGACACUUGUCUGCAGUGCCUGUCUCCGCUCCCGCUAGGAAGCCUCCCCUCCGGCAUCUCCAAUCCAUCUCUGGGUCCUGCUCCACCUGCAUUUCCCUAGACCUGUCCUGGCCACCCUCACCCUGGGACACCUCCUGCCCGUGGAGAGCUCCUCUGAUAGGUGCCGUCCUUGGUCUUGGGGGUCCUUUCUCCCUAAUUCUACUUCUGUUUUGGGGGCGUGGGAACCCAGGGUCUUAACCCCAGCCAUUCCCCCUCCCAGGGGCCACUUCCCUCUGAAGCUUAGCCCAGCUCUGUGACCCCCACAGGCCUGCCCCCACCUGGUCCUCACUCCCCUGCAUAGCCACACUGUGGGGGCUCCAUGCUUCCCAGCCCAUAGGAAGCCCUGUUCCCAGAGGGGGCCAUUCUGUUUUAGUUGGAGCAGUGGCCAGAGGCAAAGGUCAGAAGGCAAAGGUCAUAAAAGUUUGUCUCUACCUGCCAGCAUCUGCUCCUGCUACUGCAUCUUCUCCCCUCUCCACCCAAACCCUCCCUCAGCUCCUGCCCCCACCUCUCCAGAGGCACAGACAACAGGGUUCUGAUCUUGGGUCAUGGUGCUCCCCCUGCCAGCCUCAGUCCGAGACCUCUGUGAAUGGCGGUGAUGGCUAAUGGGAUGAGGGGGACCACCUCCUGGUGGCUGCAGGGACUGGGGUGAGGGUGCUGUAGGCUCUGCCUAAGUCAAGUGCCAUGGGGCUGAAGAGACGGCGCACCGGCCCUGGAGAAGAGUCCUCCCUGCCCUCCUGUGUCUGGCCUUGUUUCCUGGAGGACAGGUCCCCACGGGGCAGAGGCCCAGCAGUCCCAGGUUCCUUAGCCUCUGCCACCUCCAGGCCGUGUCUGCUAACCCUGUCUGCCGUCAGCAAGCUUCGU